CAAUGGCGUUUCUAUAGACCUUCUGUAUGCGAAUGUAGCACUCUGGGUUAUUCCUGAGGACUUGGAUGUUUCUCAGGAGUCUAUACUACAGAAUGUGGAUGAUCAGACUGUUCGUAGUCUUAAUGGAUGCAGAGUAACAGAUCAAGUUUUGCAUUUAGUACCGAAUAUUCAGAGUUUCCGCACCGCACUGAGAUGCAUGAGGUUGUGGGCAAAAAGGCGUGGAGUUUACUCAAACGUUACAGGAUUUCUAGGCGGUAUAAAUUGGGCACUGCUUGUUGCUAGGAUUUGCCAGCUUUAUCCUAAUGCAGCUCCUAGCAUGUUGGUUUCUCGUUUUUUCAGAGUCUACAGUUUGUGGCGCUGGCCAAACCCAGUUUUACUGUGUCCAAUAAAUGAAGGAUCUCUAGGGCUGGCCUAUUGGGAUCCUCGGAGGAAUUUCAAAGAUAGGCAGCAUCUAAUGCCGAUAAUAACUCCAGCAUACCCCUGCAUGAAUUCGAGUUACAAUGUUUCAACGAGUACCUUGCGUGUCAUGAUGGAAGAAUUCCUUAGAGGGAAUGAAAUUUGUGAGGCAAUAGAAGCUAACAAAGCUAGCUGGGGAAGUCUAUUUGAGCCUUUCCCUUUCUUUGAAGCCUAUAAAAACUACUUGCGAAUAGACAUAGCUACAGAAAGUGAUGAUGACAUGAGGCAAUGGAAAGGAUGGGUUGAAUCUAGGAUACGCCUGCUUACUCUAAAGAUUGAGAGAGAUACAGUCGGUGUACUUCAGUGCCAUCCACAUCCGGGGGAAUUCUCAGAUAAAUCUAAGCCAUUUCACCAUUCUUAUUUUAUGGGAUUGCGCAAAAAAGAAGGUGCAAGUUAUCAACAAGGCGAACAAUUUGAUAUAAGGUCGACAGUUGAGGAUUUUAAGCGAGAUGUAUAUGCAUAUUCUUUUUGGAAAUCUAGCAUGUGGAUUAAUGUGUGUCAUGUAAGACGAAAGGAUCUUCCCGACUUUGUCUUCCCGGGAGGAGUACGUCCUGCUCAGCCUGCAAAAAGUGAAAGCCGUUCAGGCUCAAGAUCGCUUGGUUCUGCUAAAACAACUUCUCCAGAUGCUGCUUCUAGCAGAAAGAGAAAACAUGACGAAGUUGUUGCAGGUCUUAGCCCAAAAGGCAGUGAUGCCAGCUCACCAGGUGAAAUUAGGGAGUUGAAACACUUUGAAGCCGAUACUGGUGAUACCUCGAGUACAUUGCCUGUGGCUGCAUCUGGUGCAGCUGUAACGGAGUUAACAGUCAUGCAAUCUGCCAAACUGACUGUGGGCCAGCAAAGUGAACCCCAUGGUGUUGAAGAUCUUGGGUAUGACCUGGAGUUGACAAAUGGAGCUAAGCAUCUUGAUGGGGCUAAUGGGCUGCAGACAGAGCCCCCUACACCAGAGCAAUUUGUUGGGGCAGCAACAUCAGAGGAAAAGGACAGAAUUGGUGGUUCUAGCAAUAAUGUCCUGCAAAGCGAGGGCUUGGAAGAACUUGAGCCAAUUGAGCCAGCACCAUCCUCCAGCAUUGCAUCUGCUGCAUUUGAGGUUCCUCAGAAGCCGCUCAUUAGGUUCAAUUUUACU
rnacentral:misc_RNA from 1 species